ACGGUACCUACAAGAUGGAAAACCCAAAAAUCUCACUGAGGCGGGGGAGAUUGGAGCCAGAUGGAUGGAAGUGGCAGAAAGCAAGAAAGCUACUGUCAAGGGGAACGAAUACCCCAGGGGGCACACCGACCAUAAACCCUACAACCGAGGACAGCCAAAGACCCCACAUACAACCCAAGUAAAGCCACAGACACCCUAUUCUUCCACCUCACCAGUCUCCAGUAACUCACCUCGGCCCAGUGACCCAUCAGAUGGAAGAUGCUUUAAGUGUAAUGAACUGGGACAUAUCAAGGCCAACUGUCCAAAGAACACCAUGCGAGUGCAAUUCAUUACACCACCAUCACACCAAAGAUCCCCAGGCCCAGAUGCCUCUCAAAUACCCUUGGAGCGAAGGGAAAAUUUGAGAGUGGGCGGAAAGAAGGUUACUGCGUGGAGAGACACGGGGGCACAAGUGUCAGCUAUCCACCAAUCCUUCGUUGACCCCAAAUUCAUCAACCCAAAGGCCAAAGUUACAAUUUACCCCUUCAUGUCACAAGCUGUAGACUUGCCUACAGCUCAACUGCCUGUCCAGUACAAAGGCUGGUCAGGAAUGUGGACUUUUGCAGUCUAUGACAAUUAUCCUAUCCCCAUGCUACUGGGGGAAGACUUGGCCAACCAGGUGAGGCGGGCCAAGAGAGUGGGAAUGGUUACACGUAGCCAAACCAGGCAAGCUUCCAGACCCAUUCCUGUUCCUGAGCCGUCCACAGAGGCCCCGUCUGUGUUACCAGAGACCCAGACAGAGGUAGUGGACCCGGAUUCCAUGCCUACCACUGAAACAGCCACAGCAUCUCCAGUCCCAGGCCCGGAACUGGAACAGCAACCAGCACCAGCAAGUGCAACCACAUCUUCAAACUCAACGCCAGAGGGCGCCAGCGAGCCAGAACUGGCAGAAGCAAAAGACAGCCAUACCCAAAAGGCUCAGCCAGAGCCUGAAAUACCCUCAGGUGCACCAGCGGAGAGCGGUUCACCAGCAACGGAAACAACCCCAUCACCUACAUCGCUUCCAGAGGGACCAAGCCCAAGUCCACAGUCUGAGGAAGAACUGGUGACCCCAGCCUCAAGGGAACAGUUCCAGGCUGAGCAGGAAGCAGAUGACAGCCUUCAGAAAGCGUGGGCGGCGGCACGGAGCACCCCACCGCCUCUCAGCUCUUCUAAUCGAUCCCGGUUUGUUAUAGACCAAGGACUUUUAUACAAGGAAAUUCUUUCUGGUGGACACCGGGAAGAAUGGCAGCCGCAAAAACAGUUGGUGGUUCCAACUAAGUACCGGGGGAAGCUCUUAAGCUUAGCCCAUGAUCAUCCCAGUGGCCAUGCUGGGGUGAACAGAACCAAGGACCGGUUGGGGAAGUCCUUCCACUGGGAGGGGAUGGGCAAGGAUGUUGCCAAGUAUGUCCGGUCUUGUGAGGUAUGCCAAAGAGUGGGAAAGCCUCAAGACCAGGUCAAGGCCCCUCUCCAGCCACUCCCCAUAAUUGAGGUCCCAUUUCAGCAAGUAGCUGUGGAUAUUCUGGGUCCUUUCCCAAAAAAGACACCCAGAGGAAAACAGUACGUAC
ensembl:lncRNA